UCAGAGGUGAAAUUCUUGGAUUGAUGGAAGACAAACUGCUGCGAAAGCGUCUGCCAAGGAUGUUUUCAUUGAUCAAGAACGAAAGUAAGGGGAUCGAAGACGAUCAGAUACCGUCGUAGUCUUUACCAUAAACGAUGAGGACUGGGGAUCGGGCGAGGAAUUACGAUGACCCGCCCGGCACCCUCCGGGAAACCAAAGUGUUUGCUUUCUGGGGGGAGUAUGGUCGCAAGGCUGAAACUUAAAGGAAUUGACGGAAGGGCAUCACCGGGUGUGGAGCCUGCGGCUUAAUUUGACUCAACACGGGAAAACUUACCAGGUCAGGACAUAGUGAGGAUUGACAGAUUGAGAGCUCUUUCUUGAUUCUAUGGUUGGUGGUGCAUGGCCGUUCUUAGUUGGUGGAGUGAUUUGUCUGGUUAAUUCCGUUAACGAGCGAGACCUGGGCGUGCUAAAUAGGGGCUAUUACCUUUUUUGGUAGUAUGUUUUCCCCUUCUUAGACGGACUGUGGGCGCCUAGCCCACGGAAGCUCCAGGCAAUAACAGGUCUGAGAUGCCCUUAGAUGUUCUGGGCCGCACGCGUGCUACACUGAGUGGAUCAGCGGGUCAGGUUGCAAGAGAUUGUUUCCUAAUCUUGAAAUCCGCUCGUGCUGGGGAUUGACGGUUGCAAUUUUCCGUCAUGAACGAGGAAUACCUUGUAAGCGCGGGUCAUCAUCCCGCGCUGAAUACGUCCCUGCCCUUUGUACACACCGCCCGUCGCUCCUACCGAUUGAGUGGUCCGGUGAGGCUUUGGGAUUGCAGCGAAAAUAGCGCUUCGCUAGAUUUGUCGCAAGA
rnacentral:rRNA from 1 species